UUUGUUUGCAUAAAAAAGGCAUGGUCUCGGGCAUGACAGAGGAGGGUUUUUUUUGGACAUUUAAAAAAAGGGUUAUCAGAUCUUAGAGAGAGGAAUUCCAAAUAGAGAGUUUGAUCCGGCCAAGCUCUGUAAUAAUUCUAUAGAUCUAAGGGUUAAAAAAAUGAGUUUAACUUAAGGUUGAAGCCACAUUAGAGGUCAAUUCCAUUGUUGAUCUUCAGUUUGUUUCAUAUUGAUAUUUGAAUAUCCUGUUACUGGUUUUCAGAAAAAUUCCUGCUUCAUUUCCUUACUGAUGGUUCAAAGUUUGGCUGCUGCUAUUUUGCUUUUUGUUUCAACUCAUUUUCAUUGUGAAUUUGCUGUAAUCAAGUAUCUGCUCCUAAACUUUUGUGAUGAUUUUGGCUUGAAGUAGAAAUGAAAUAUGGAAUUUGAUAACUUCAACCUCCUUGGGUUGAAUUAGAUGAAUUCGUUCUGUGUUAAUUGUUUUAGUAUUGGCGUAAGUGGAACACUGUAGACUCAUUAUUAGUUUGUAUUCGAUAUUAGCUUUACAUUCUACUGUCAUAACUAUUUUGAACUGUUAAAGGCAUGAAUUGCCUGGAUUCUGUUCUAUUAUUCUAGAUUCAGUAUAUUUUAAAGUCCUUGAAAUUAAUAGGUAGUUAUUGAAUUCAUGUGAACUUGAUUUACUCGUCUCUAUACACUAACCAAGAGUAUCUGUGAGAUUUGAGUACAUUUGAAGAGUUGUGAUUCAAUUUAUGAAUUCACGCUUCAAUAAAGUCCCAAAUUGCAUGUUCUGUGGUUUUAUUAUCAUUAAUAAAGUCCAUAUUGUGAUUCAAGUGUUGUAAAAUAAGUUAGGUCAUUCUAAGGUGAUGAGAAAUUUGUUAAUAUGUUGCAGAUUCAAGUGUUCUUUCAUUAGUCAUACUUAACAGUUGUUUAUCAGCUAACUAGUACAUUGU
rnacentral:lncRNA from 1 species